GAUGAAGAACGCAGCGAAAUGCGAUAAGUAAUGUGAAUUGCAGAAUUCAGUGAAUCAUCGAAUCUUUGAACGCACAUUGCGCCCGCCAGUAUUCUGGCGAGCAUGCCUGUUCGAGCGUCAUUUCAACCAUCAAGCCCCAGGCUUGUGUUGGAGCCCUGCGGCUGCCGCAGCCUCCCAAAACCAGUGGCGGGCUCGCUAUCACACCGAGUGCAGUAGUUUGCUCUUCGCUCAGGGCGUGUGGCGGGUGCUAGCCGUGAAACCCCCAACUUCUCAAGGUUGACCUCGGAUCAGGUAGGAAUACCCGCUGAACUUAAGCAUAUCAAUAAGCGGAGGA
rnacentral:misc_RNA from 1 species